CAUAGUAGCACUAAUCAGGAGGUCUAGAAGGAGUCAUAGUUCCACUAAUCAGGAGGUCUAGAAGGAGUCAUAGUUCCACUAAUCAGGAGGUCUAGAAGGAGUCAUAGUUCCACUAAUCAGGAGGUCUAGAAGGAGUCAUAGUUCCACUAAUCAGGAGGUCUAGAAGGAGUCAUAGUUCCACUAAUCAGGUCUAGAAGGAGUCAUAGUUCCACUAAUCAGGAGGUCUAGAAGGAGUCACAGUUCCACUAAUCAGGAGGUCUAGAAGGAGUCAUAGUUCCACUAAUCAGGAGGUCUAGAAGGAGUCAUAGUUCCACUAAUCAGGAGGUCUAGAAGGAGUCAUAGUUCCACUAAUCAGGAGGUCUAGAAGGAGUCAUAGUUCCACUAAUCAGGAGGUCUAGAAGGAGUCAUAGUACCACUAAUCAGGAGGUCUAGAAGGAGUCAUAGUUCCACUAAUCAGGAGGUCUAGAAGGAGUCACAGUUCCACUAAUCAGGAGGUAUAGAAGGAGUCAUAGUUCCACUAAUCAGGAGGUCUAGAAGGAGUCACAGUUCCACUAAUCAGGAGGUCUAGAAGGAGUCAUAGUUCCACUAAUCAGGAGGUCUAGAAGGAGUCACAGUUCCACUAAUCAGGAGGUCUAGAAGGAGUCAUAGUUCCACUAAUCAGGAGGUCUAGAAGGAGUCAUAGUUCCACUAAUCAGGAGGUCUAGAAGGAGUCAUAGUUCCACUAAUCAGGAGGUCUAGAAGGAGUCAUAGUUCCACUAAUCAGGAGGUCUAGAAGGAGUCACAGUUCCACUAAUCAGGAGGUCUAGAAGGAGUCAUAGUUCCACUAAUCAGGAGGUCUAGAAGGAGUCACAGUUCCACUAAUCAGGAGGUAUAGAAGGAGUCAUAGUUCCACUAAUCAGGAGGUAUAGAAGGAGUCAUAGUUCCACUAAUCAGGAGGUCUAGAAGGAGUCAUAGUUCCACUAAUCAGGAGGUAUAGAAGGAGUCAUAGUUCCACUAAUCAGGAGGUCUAGAAGGAGUCAUAGUUCCACUAAUCAGGAGGUCUAGAAGGAGUCACAGUUCCACUAAUCAGGAGGUAUAGAAGGAGUCAUAGUUCCACUAAUCAGGAGGUCGAGAAGGAGUCAUAGUUCCACUAAUCAGGAGGUAUAGAAUGAGUCAUGGUACCACUAAUCAGGAGGUCGAGAAGGAGUCAUAGUUCCACUAAUCAGGAGGUCUAGAAGGAGUCAUAGUUCCAAUAAUCAGGUCUAGAAGGAGUCAUAGUUCCACUAAUCA